rnacentral:rRNA from 1 species
AUUGAACGCUGGCGGAAUGCUUUACACAUGCAAGUCGAACGGCAGCACGGGGGCAACCCUGGUGGCGAGUGGCGAACGGGUGAGUAAUGUAUCGGAACGUACCAUUCAGUGGGGGAUAACGUAGCGAAAGUUACGCUAAUACCGCAUAUUCUGUGAGCAGGAAAGCAGGGGAUCGCAAGACCUUGCGCUGAUUGAGCGGCCGAUAUCAGAUUAGCUAGUUGGUGAGGUAAAGGCUCACCAAGGCGACGAUCUGUAGCGGGUCUGAGAGGAUGAUCCGCCACACUGGAACUGAGACACGGUCCAGACUCCUACGGGAGGCAGCAGUGGGGAAUUUUGGGACAAUGGGCGCAAGCCUGAUCCAGCCAUGCCGCGUGCGGGAAGAAGGCCUUCGGGUUGUAACCGCUUUGUCAGGAAGAAUCUUCUGAGCUAAUACCUCGGGAGGAUGACGGUACCGUGAAGAAUAAGCACCGGCCUAACUACGUGACCG